rnacentral:rRNA from 1 species
CCUUCGGGGACAAAGUGACAGGUGGUGCAUGGUUGUCGUCAGCUCGUGUCGUGAGAUGUUGGGUUAAGUCCCGCAACGAGCGCAACCCUUGAUUUUAGUUGCCAGCAUUUAGUUGGGCACUCUAAAGUGACUGCCGGUGCAAGCCGGAGGAAGGUGGGGAUGACGUCAAAUCAUCAUGCCCCUUAUGACCUGGGCUACACACGUGCUACAAUGGAUAGUACAAAGGGUCGCGAAGCCGCGAGGUGGAGCUAAUCCCAUAAAACUAUUCUCAGUUCGGAUUGUAGGCUGCAACUCGCCUACAUGAAGCCGGAAUCGCUAGUAAUCGUGGAUCAGCAUGCCACGGUGAAUACGUUCCCGGGCCUUGUACACACCGCCCGUCACACCACGAGAGUUUGUAACACCCGAAGUCGGUAGGGUAACCUUUAUGGAGCCAGCCGCCGAAGGUGGGACAGAUAAUUGGGGUGAAGUCGUAACAAGGUAGCCGUAUCGGAAGGUGCGGCUGGAUCACCUCCUUU